AGGCGAUUAGUUUAAGAAAAACACUUGAUUUCGGCUCAAAAGCUUAUGGUUAGAAUCCAUAAUCACCUU
rnacentral:tRNA from 1 species